UACGUAGGUUGCAAGCGUUAAUCGGAAUUACUGGGCGUAAAGCGUGCGCAGGCGGCUUUGCAAGUCAGAUGUGAAAUCCCCGGGCUUAACCUGGGAACUGCAUUUGUGACUGCAUGGCUGGAGUGCGGCAGAGGGGGAUGGAAUUCCGCGUGUAGCAGUGAAAUGCGUAGAUAUGCGGAGGAACACCGAUGGCGAAGGCAAUCCCCUGGGCCUGCACUGACGCUGAUGCACGAAAGCGUGGGGAGCAAACAGG
rnacentral:rRNA from 1 species